AUAUAUUAUAUGUUAGCUUUUUUUUUGUAAAAAAUAUUUUUUGUAAAAAAAAUAAAUUUUUAGCUUUUUAGUGUUUAGUUUGUAUGAAAAGAAAAAUAUUUUUUUUAUAAAAAUUAUUUGAUUGAAAAAAUAAAUAAAAAAUUAUAUAUUUUCUCUUAUUCUAUAUAUUAUAUGUUAAUGAUAUAUAAUAAUAAUUAUUAUUAUUUAUAUUUGUAAAUUAAAUAUAUCAAAAUUAUAUUAUAUAAUAAUUUAAUAAGUAUAUAAUAUAAUAUAUAUCAUAAUAUGUAUAUAAUAUUAUAUAAUAAAAAUAUAAAACAUAUAUAUUAAUUCUUUAUCCCCUCUCUCUCUCUCUCACUACAACAGAAUUAGGUUAUAGGGACACAUGUUUGGAACACUUUUGAGUAAGUGUCCCAUUUAUGCUAAAACUUAAAAAAACAUCUACUAAUGCCUAAAUAUAAAGCCCAAUCCAACCAAAAAUAAAAGAUUACUCUACUCAACCCACCACACCCAGUCCAUUUGGCCCGAUUACAAACAGAAAAGAAAAAAAAAAAGAAAAAUCAAUUACCAUAUUUUCUUCUCUCUUUACUCAAUCCACUGAAAUUCUAGACGAAGAGUCAUUCCUGUCGUCCUCCUCCGCCACCGCAGCCAACGAGAUAGAGUUUCGGCGGUUGUUAAAUGCUUAAAUAAGUUGUUGGUAAAUUAGCAGCACUCUUUUAGGUUAUAGCGACACUCUUUAACUGUCACUAUAUACCUAGCGACCCCACAUAUAGCAACACUUUUUAAAGGUGUCGGUAAUUUUAGCUAGCAGCACUUUUUUGACAUGUACCUAUAUUUAAAAGUGUCGCUAUAGACCGUUUUUGUUGUAGUGUCUUUUCUUUCUCUUCCGCCCCCUCCCUCUGAAUAUAUAAAAUUUAACUAUGAAAAACUCGAUAGCACUAAAUCUUUAGUGUUAUCGAUAAUAUCCUAGCCGGACUAUAUAUAUAUAUAUAGUA
rnacentral:lncRNA from 1 species